CUUACACAUGCAGUCGAGCGGAGAUGAGGUGCUUGCACCUUAUCUUACGGCGGACGGGUGAGUAAUGCUUAGGAAUCUGCCUAUUAGUGGGGGACAACAUUCCGAAAGGAAUGCUAAUACCGCAUACGUCCUACGGGAGAAAGCAGGGGAUCUUCGGACCUUGCGCUAAUAGAUGAGCCUAAGUCGGAUUAGCUAGUUGGUUGGGUAAAGGCCUACCAAGGCGACGAUCUGUAGCGGGUCUGAGAGGAUGAUCCGCCACACUGGGACUGAGACACGGCCCAGACUCCUACGGGAGGCAGCAGUGGGGAAUAUUGGACAAUGGGGGGAACCCUGAUCCAGCCAUGCCGCGUGUGUGAAGAAGGCCUUAUGGUUGUAAAGCACUUUAAGCGAGGAGGAGGCUACUGAGACUAAUACUCUUGGAUAGUGGACGUUACUCGCAGAAUAAGCACCGGCUAACUCUGUGCCAGCAGCCGCGGUAAUACAGAGGGUGCGAGCGUUAAUCGGAUUUACUGGGCGUAAAGCGUGCGUAGGCGGCUUUUUAAGUCGGAUGUGAAAUCCCCGAGCUUAACUUGGGAAUUGCAUUCGAUACUGGGAAGCUAGAGUAUGGGAGAGGAUGGUAGAAUUCCAGGUGUAGCGGUGAAAUGCGUAGAGAUCUGGAGGAAUACCGAUGGCGAAAGCAGCCAUCUGGCCUAAUACUGACGCUGAUGUACGAAAGCAUGGGGAGCAAACAGGAUUAGAUACCCUGGUAGUCCAUGCCGUAAACGAUGUCUACUAGCCGUUGGGGCCUUUGAGGCUUUAGUGACGCAGCUAACGCGAUAGUAGACCGCCUGGGG
rnacentral:rRNA from 1 species